rnacentral:misc_RNA from 1 species
GUGAAUCAUCGAAUUUUUGAACGCAAAUUGCACUCUCUUCGAUGAUGAUGCCUGUUUGAGUUUCAGUACUACUAAAAAUCGGUAUGUUUCUUCUUUGUUACGAUCCGGAGUUUGGGUCAUCUUAAUAUCCUUUAGGUUUUAACGGGCUUAAUAUUUACUUUUUUUGCGCACUUUCUAUUUACAUAAAUUCUUUUUUUUAUUCGUCUGUCUUCAUGCCCAAAAUCCUAUUAGAUGCGACCAUAUCGUGUUGUUCCGUGACUAUAAAUUUUUCAUUAUUUGACCUCAAAUCAGUUAUGAGUA